rnacentral:tRNA from 1 species
GUUUUUGUGGUGUAGUGGUAAGCACGCUCGUCGCAUAUUCGAGAGGCCCGUGGUUCGAGUCCCGACGAGAGCA